rnacentral:misc_RNA from 1 species
AAGUCGUAACAAGGUUUCCGUAGGUGAACCUGCGGAAGGAUCAUUACCCCUAGAGUUGUAGGCUUUGCCUGCUAUCUCUUACCCAUGUCUUUUGAGUACCUUCGUUUCCUCGGCGGGUCCGCCCGCCGAUUGGACAAUUUAAACCCUUUGCAGUUGCAAUCAGCGUCUGAAAAAACAUAAUAAUUACAACUUUCAACAACGGAUCUCUUGGUUCUG